GACGAACGCUGGCGGCGUGCUUAACACAUGCAAGUCGAUCGGAAAGGCCUCUUUCGGGGGGUACUCGAGUGGCGAACGGGUGAGUAACACGUGAGUAACCUGCCCUUGACUUUGGGAUAACUUCAGGAAACUGGGGCUAAUACCGGAUAGGAGCUCCUGCUGCAUGGUGGGGGUUGGAAAGUUUCGGCGGUUGGGGAUGGACUCGCGGCUUAUCAGCUUGUUGGUGGGGUAGUGGCUUACCAAGGCUUUGACGGGUAGCCGGCCUGAGAGGGUGACCGGCCACAUUGGGACUGAGAUACGGCCCAGACUCCUACGGGAGGCAGCAGUGGGGAAUAUUGCACAAUGGGUGGAAGCCUGAUGCAGCAACGCCGUGUGCGGGAUGACGGCCUUCGGGUUGUAAACCGCUUUCGCUCAUGACGAAGCUUUGUGUGACGGUAGUGGGUAAAGAAGCACCGGCUAACUACGUG
rnacentral:rRNA from 1 species